CCUACGGGAGGCAGCAGUGAGGAAUAUUGGUCAAUGGACGGAAGUCUGAACCAGCCAUGCCGCGUGCAGGAAGACGGCUCUAUGAGUUGUAAACUGCUUUUGUACAAGGGUAAACCUGAAUACGUGUAUUCAGCUGAAAUUACUGUACGAAUAAGGAUCGGCUAACUCCCUGCCAGCGGCCGCGUGAAUACGGAGGAUCCAAGCUUUAUCCGGAUUUUUUGGGUUUAAAGGGUGCGUAGGCGGUUUGAUAAGUUAGAGGUGAAAUGUCCGAGCUUAACUCGGGAACUGCCUCUAAUACUGUUGAUCUAGAGAGUAGAUGCGGUAGGCGGAAUGUAUGGUGUAGCGGUGAAAUGCUUAGAGAUCAUACAGAACACCGAUUGCGAAGGCAGCUUACCAAUCUAUAUCUGACGUUGAGGCACGAAAGCGUGGGGAGCAAACAGGAUUAGAUACCCCAGUAGUC
rnacentral:rRNA from 1 species